GACGAACGCUGGCGGCGUGCUUAACACAUGCAAGUCGAACGGAAAGGCCCUGCUUUUGUGGGGUGCUCGAGUGGCGAACGGGUGAGUAACACGUGAGUAACCUGCCCUUGACUUUGGGAUAACUUCAGGAAACUGGGGCUAAUACCGGAUAGGAGCUCCUGCUGCAUGGUGGGGGUUGGAAAGUUUCGGCGGUUGGGGAUGGACUCGCGGCUUAUCAGCUUGUUGGUGGGGUAGUGGCUUACCAAGGCUUUGACGGGUAGCCGGCCUGAGAGGGUGACCGGGCACAUUGGGACUGAGAUACGGCCCAGACUCCUACGGGAGGCAGAAGUGGGGAAUAUUGCACAAUGGGCGGAAGCCUGAUGCAGAAACGCCGCGUGCGGGAUGACGGCCUUCGGGUUGUAAACCGCUUUCGCCUGUGACGAAGCGUGAGUGACGGUAAUGGGUAAAGAAGCACCGGCUAACUACGUG
rnacentral:rRNA from 1 species